rnacentral:lncRNA from 1 species
UAUAUAUAUAGCGGAGCGAAAGCCUAUUUCGAAAGGGAUGGAAUGAACCCCCAAGUUAAAAUAUUGAUCGUUUACAUCCUGAACGUCGCACCUCCACACAACUGAGCCGGCCCACGCCGUCCAAGCGUCCCACGGAGGAGGGGGAGAAGAACCCCGUCGCCGUUGAUGCACACGUGGGCUUUGCCCGGUGGCACUCUUUGGAAGCGGUGAGGGGGGAGGGCAACGGAGUGGGUUCCGGUGGCGGCGCCUAGGGUUGCCCCGGGCCGCUCGCGGGAGCGGCAUGGGGUGUUCAGAAUCACGAUUUGGUUGGCAUUUUCCAGAAGCUAUCUUUAAAGGAGACCAAUUUCAUUAC